UUUUUCGGUACGAGAUGAGCCCGCGGCCUAUCAGCUUGUUGGUGGGGUAAUGGCCUACCAAGGCGUCGACGGGUAGCCGGCCUGAGAGGGUGGACGGCCACAUUGGGACUGAGAUACGGCCCAGACUCCUACGGGAGGCAGCAGUGGGGAAUAUUGCACAAUGGGCGCAAGCCUGAUGCAGCGACGCCGCGUGGGGGAUGACGGCCUUCGGGUUGUAAACCUCUUUCGCUAGGGACGAAGCUUUUGUGACGGUACCUAGAUAAGAAGCACCGGCUAACUACGUGCCAGCAGCCGCGGUAAUACGUAGGGUGCGAGCGUUGUCCGGAAUUACUGGGCGUAAAGAGCUCGUAGGUGGUUUGUCGCGUCGUCUGUGAAAUUCCGGGGCUUAACUUCGGGCGUGCAGGCGAUACGGGCAUAACUUGAGUGCUGUAGGGGAGACUGGAAUUCCUGGUGUAGCGGUGGAAUGCGCAGAUAUCAGGAGGAACACCGAUGGCGAAGGCAGGUCUCUGGGCAGUAACUGACGCUGAGGAGCGAAAGCAUGGGGAGCGAACAGGAUUAGAUACCCUGGUAGUCCAUGCCGUAAACGGUGGGCGCUAGGUGUGAGGGUCUUCCACGACUUUCGUGCCGUAGCUAACGCAUUAAGCGCCCCGCCUGGGGAGUACGGCCGCAAGGCUAAAACUCAAAGGAAUUGACGGGGGCCCGCACAAGCGGCGGAGCAUGUGGAUUAAUUCGAUGCAACGCGAAGAACCUUACCUGGGCUUGACAUAUGCAGGAUCGGCGUAGUGAUACGUUUUCCCUUGUGGUCUGUAUACAGGUGGUGCAUGGUUGUCGUCAGCUCGUGUCGUGAGAUGUUGGGUUAAGUCCCGCAACGAGCGCAACCCUUGUCUUAUGUUGCCAGCACGUGAUGGUGGGGACUCAUGAGAGACUGCCGGGGUUAACUCGGAGGAAGGUGGGGAUGACGUCAAAUCAUCAUGCCCCUUAUGUCCAGGGCUUCACACAUGCUACAAUGGUCGGUACAACGCGCUGCGAGCCUGUGAGGGUGAGCGAAUCGCUGAAAGCCGGCCUCAGUUCGGAUUGGGGUCUGCAACUCGACCCCAUGAAGUCGGAGUCGCUAGUAAUCGCAGAUCAGCAACGCUGCGGUGAAUACGUUCCCGGGCCUUGUACACACCGCCCGUCACGUCAUGAAAGUUGGUAACACCCGAAGCCAGUGGCCUAACCCUUGUGGGGGGAGCUGUCGAAGGUGGGAUCGGCGAUUGGGACGAAGUCGUAACAAGGUAGCCGUACCGGAAGGUGCGGCUGGAUCACCUCCUUUCUAAGGAG
rnacentral:rRNA from 1 species